UACGUAGGGCGCAAGCGUUGUCCGGAAUUAUUGGGCGUAAAGAGCUCGUAGGCGGUUUGUCGCGUCUGCUGUGAAAACCUAAGGCUCAACCUUGGGCUUGCAGUGGGUACGGGCAGACUAGAGUGCGGUAGGGGUGACUGGAAUUCCUGGUGUAGCGGUGGAAUGCGCAGAUAUCAGGGAGGAACACCGAGUGGCGAAAGGCAGGUCACUGGGCCGCAACUGACGC
rnacentral:rRNA from 1 species